AGUGCACGUGCCUGUGAUGUGCGCUGGGUCUGUGAGGUGUGCACGUGCCUGUGACGUGUGCUGGGUCUGUGAGGUGUGCAUGGGUCUGUGAGGUGUGCACGUGCCUGUGAUGUGUGCUGGGUCUGUGAGGUGUGCACGGGUCUGUGAGGUGUGCGCGUGCCUGUGAUAUGUGCUGGGUCUGUGAGGUGUGCACAGGUCUGUGAGGUGUGCACGUGCCUAUGAUGUGUGCACGUGCCUAUGAAGUGUGCUGGGUCUGUGACAUGUGCUGGGUCUGUGAGGUGUGCAUGGGUCUGUGAGGUGUGCAUGGGUCUGUGACACGUGCUGGGUCUGUGAGGUGUGCACGUGCCUGUGAUUUGUACUGUAUCUGUGAGGUGUGCACGGGUCUGUGAGGUGUGCAUGGGUCUGUGACAUGUGCUGGGUCUGUG
rnacentral:lncRNA from 1 species